GAUAGCAUCGUGUCAAGGCAUCGCUCAGUAGCGGUCAGGAGAGGGUGGAAGACCACUAACGGACUGAGACACGGCGAGGCAUCGUCCGGGAUGCAGCAGUAGGGAACAUUGAGCAAUGGGGGAAACCGGGAGGAAGCGACACCCAGUCAUCGAAGAAGAAGGAAGGCUGCUAAAGGUGUGUUGUAAGUGAUGAAUGUUUAUAGGGUGAACAGUCAGAUAAAGGGGCGGUCCCUUACCCACAAGCCCGCAUCAACUACGUCCCAGCAGGCGCGGUAAGUAGUAGGGGGGGAGCGUUGUCUGGAAUUAUUGGGCGUAAAGAGCAGGUAGGCGGGUAAUUAAGUCAGAUGUGAAAGACCGGGGCCCAACCUCGGGGUUGCAUCUGAAACUGGUUAUCUUGAGGGCAGGAGAGGAAAGUGGAAUUCCUGGUGUAGCGGUGAAAUGCGUAGAAGUCAGGAGGAAUACCAGUGGAGAAGGCGGCUUUCUGGAUUGACCAUCACGCUGAGGUGGGCAAGAAAGGGUAGCAAACAGGCUUGGAUACCCUGCUAGUUCACGCAGUCAACGAAGGAUGAUCGGUGUGGGAGGUAUCGACCCCUUCAG
rnacentral:rRNA from 1 species